rnacentral:rRNA from 1 species
GAUGAACGCUGGCGGCGUGCCUAAUACAUGCAAGUCGAGCGAACGGACGAGAAGCUUGCUUUUCUGAUGUUAGCGGCGGACGGGUGAGUAACACGUGGAUAACCUACCUAUAAGACUGGGAUAACUUCGGGAAACCGGAGCUAAUACCGGAUAAUAUUUUGAACCGCAUGGUUCAAAAGUGAAGGACGGUCUUGCUGUCACUUAUAGAUGGAUCCGCGCUGUAUUAGCUAGUUGGUAAGGUAACGGCUUACCAAGGCAACGAUGCAUAGCCGACCUGAGAGGGUGAUCGGCCAAACUGGAACUGGGAAACGGUCCAGACUCCUACGGGAGGCAGCAGUAGGGAAUCUUCCGCAAUGGGCGAAAGCCUGACGGAGCAACGCCGCGGGAGUGAUGAAGGUCUUCGGAUCGUAAAACUCUGUUAUUAGGGAAGAACAUAUGUGUAAGUAACUGUGCACAUCUUGACGGUACCUAAUCAGAAAGCCACGGCUAACUACGUG